CAAAACAAAGAUUGAAUUAUACAUAGCAACUGUUUGAUAAUAAACACUGCCUUUCAGUUUACAAUUUUUUAUUCACUUUUUUUACGCAACCUAAUAACCACCCACAAAAUAACAUGUCAAUUCUCAGCUUUCAACAAAAUUAAAACCCAGAAACUGAAUCGAGCGAGAUUACACAACAGUUGUCAAUAACAAAAAUGCUUGAAUGUACUAUAACGGCAAUAAGAUAAUUAAAAAAUUAUAGUCGUAAUAUAACACUAGGACACCCACAUCGCAUAAUGAGGUCAUACCGUAACUUGAAAAUUAAAAACAUUAACUCUACGUAUGCUCUGUUAAAAAUGGCAAAAGAAAGCUAAACUCGUUUCGUUGGUUCACCUCAAAAUUCCCACAAACGAACAGCAUAUAAUUCGAUUAUCUUGCAAUUGAAGAGAACCAUUCGGGCUUCAGACUUGGCAGAUGAGAGAGCACCGGUUAGCCCGGUUGCCAAAAUCCUUGGUGCCAUCUAAUGGUAAUACAAUCUCCAAAUAUUGAAGCAAAAGCAGCCAAAGGCAAACAAAAUUACAGAGUAUUACAAAGUCUCCAAAUAAUAUCAGCUCCAAGAACAUGUAUUUAACUUGAAUUGUAAUCAAUACCCAUAAAAAAAUUCAGUAUACAACACAAAACUUCAAUUCCAAGUUAAGACUGGUAAUAAAAUUUUCAGCUCAUUCCACAUAAUGUCGUAACUAAGGCACGAGGCAGAUUUGGAAAGGAUUGUAAGCAUAUUGCAAAUGUGAAUUCCAAAAACAACGUAAUUUAUAUUGAAUGCGUGCACAAGGACAGGAGUUUCGUAAGCGGAUAAGAUCGACUACAUGGCAUAUUAAUGGGGUACAAUUGAUGAUUGAUGCAAGUGUAUCGAAUCCCAUAACAGAUGCCUUGAGGCAAAGUCAACACAUACUUAACACAAUCCAGGAUAAUUUGGAAAGAUAUCUGUUAAGUAGAGAGAGUAAUUCGAGGAUAACAUUGUAACUAUAUAUAGGAGUAAUGCAAAGUGGACCAAUUUUUUAGACUAAAUUCAUAAUAAUUCUUCACUUGUAAUUGUAAUUGAGAGGUCUUUAAGUUCAGUUUUCGCAUAAAGCAAACUUGAACCGCACUGAGGCUUGAAUCAUUCACCAACCCAAUAAUAUCGUUCGUUCAAAAAAAAAAACCAAAACAUCAGAAAUAAGAACUCCAGUAAUAAUCCAAUCAUCAACUACCCAUCAUAUGAUUUAUGAACUUUAGUCUAAAUAGUCGGUCUUCCAGGCAUUUUCCUAUAGACAGUUAGGGUUUCUUAAACUCCCUUUUACCUAGGAAUCAAGUGAAACAGUUUGAAUAUCAUAAUUCAGAGAACUGACAAAAAAACAUUAUUAUGCAUGUCUACCAAUCCUCAUGUACCCAGUUACAUUGGAUUAUAUCAAUCUAUAAUAUUAAGCCCAUAUUAGAUAAUUGGACUACAAAUACGAUUAAACCCACAUUAAUUUGAAGUAAAUUGAGCAUGAGGCGAACUAAUGGUGCAUAAUAAUUAGGGGUUUUCCGUUUAACUGGGGUUAAUAUAGUAACAGAUGCAUAUCAAUGGAAAUAGGCAGUCAGAUAAUACCUUUGGCGGUGAGAUAUGCCGUCGUUGAUGUGCUGAAUCCGUGUUCGAAUGCGCAGGCAGUAGAGCUAAAAAUAAAACACAGCACAAAAGGAAGGGACACACACAGAGCACACACCACACA
rnacentral:lncRNA from 1 species